CUGGUGAGUAACGCGUGAGGAACCUGCCUUUCGGAGGGGGACAACAGUUGGAAACGACUGCUAAUACCGCAUGACGUAUCGGGAUCGCAUGGUCUUGAUACCAAAGAUUUUAUCGCCGAAAGAUGGCCUCGCGUCUGAUUAGCUAGUUGGUGGGGCAACGGCCUACCAAGGCGACGAUCAGUAGCCGGACUGAGAGGUUGGCCGGCCACAUUGGGACUGAGAUACGGCCCAGACUCCUACGGGAGGCAGCAG
rnacentral:rRNA from 1 species